UGUUGUUGGGUUAGGGUUAGAAAUGGGCCUAGGUAGUUUGGUUUUGUAUUUGGUUUUAAAAUUUGGGCUGGUUUGGUUUGUAUGGGUUUGGGUAUUGUAUUAUUGGGCUGAUUUGGUUUGUAAAAUGGACUUUUAUUUGGUUAUUUGGAUUUUAUUUUUUAUUUAUUUGCCUAGGCCAAAAAUUGGCCAUUACAGCUGCCCCUCUUUACUCAUUGUCAUAUAACGAGAAUGGAGCAAAGACUCCAAAAUGGCCAAUUUUGCCUAGUCUCGCCGAAUCUUAACUUCUUUGAUAGUCUCGUUCCAGUCCACUAAAACUUCAGGGAGAUAAGAUUCGCCAUGAUAAAUUUGAUCCGACCUACUGCAACUUCAGAGGUAUAGGACCAGUAACUCAUAGCUUUAAUUCGUUCCACUGCAACUUCAGGGAAAUAAGAUUCACUAACUUUAGUCUGCUCCACUGCAACUUCAGGGAAAUAAGACUUGUAAUUUCAACCUGCUCCACUGCAUCUUCAGGGAGUGAGGUUUGUGACUUUAAUCUACUCCACUGUAACUUCAGGGAGAUGAGAUUCGCCAUGGUAACUUGAUUCAACCUACUGCAACUUCAGAGGUAUAAGAUUUAUAGCUUUAAUAUACUCUACUGCAACUUCAGAGAGAUAAGAUUUGCUAUAUUGAGUCUGCUCCACUGCAACUUUAGGGAGAUAAGACUCUGUGACUUUAAUCUGCUCCACUGUAACUUCAGGGAGAUGAGAUUCGCCAUGGUAACUUGAUCCAACCUACUGCAACUUCAGAGGUAUAGGAUUUAUAGCUUUAAUUUGCUCUACUGUAACUUCAGAGAGAUAAGAUUUGCUAUAUUGAGUCUGCUCUAUAUUGAGUCUGCUCCACUGCAACUUCAGAGAGAUAAGACUCUGUAAUCUGUAGCUUUGAUCUACUCUACUGUAACUUUAGAGAGAUAAGAUUCGUGACUUCAAUCUGCUCCACUACAACUUCAGGGAGACAAGAUUCGCCACUUCAAUCUACUCCACUAAAACUUCAGGGAGACAAAAUUCGUCAUGGUGAUUUCAAUCCGUCCCACUGCAUCUUCAGGGAUGUAGAAUUUUGAUUUUUUUUGGUCUGUUACACCAUUCUUGGAGAACAUGACCUAUUGAAUCUAUUUCAUGGGCCUAUUUAUGCCAAAUGAUUAGAAUGUCAUGAUCAGAAUGAAUCAAAUGCUCCUAGCUAAAUGUGUAUAAAUGAUGUUUGCAUGAAUACAAAAAUGUCAUUUUUUAAUGCUUAAUUUGAUAUCACUUGUCAUUCAUCGAGGCUUUAUCAUUGACAUAUUACUCUAUCUUUUUCUUCAACUGGUAUCUUUGGCAGAAAACCCGAAGAAAUAAUCACAAUUUGGGCUAUUCUUUCCCCAACGUUUCCAACCUUUGAAUACAGGGUGAUUCAAACUAAUUAAUCAUGUUUCAGGUCCUUGUAUCAUUUAGAAGCAUUUCAGAGUAAUAUACAGAACUCUUUUUUUGAAUAUUAUUAGUCCAUUAAUCAUCAUUUCAACGAAAAACGCUUGAAAAAGAUUAUCGCAUUAGACAAAAUGGAAUUUUAUUGAGAGCAAAGCUCAAAAUGAAUAGGGUAAUCGAGAUAGCAAAUUUACUAAGAUACAAAAUGAGAAUUAAUAAAUUAAUCAAGAUAGCAUAUUCUGCCAAAAAAUACAAAAUGAAUGAGAUAAGAAUAAGUGCUCCAGAUAUCGUAGUAUGAGCUUCGUAACACAAAUCCUCUUGAGGAACUUUUAAAACUUGGUAUGUGUUUGGAUGACCAAGGCUACUUUGUUGAUGCCCCAAUAUGUAGCAUCCCUCCUUCUUGUUAAUUCAGAGAAGACAAGACUACCGCAUGUCCCAUCUUCGAUCAAAAUUUGAAUUGCCCAUUCCUGGGUUUUCAAUUCAACCCCUUUGGUUUCAAAGCGCCCUUUUACGGGUUUUCGCCUUGGCCUCUCUAUUUUUUUUUAGGUAAAGUACCUCUUGGCCGAAUCUGAAUUCACAGGAUUAGGCAGGCUUUUGCCAUCCAUCUCGGCCAAAAUCAGGGCUCCUCCAGAGAAAGCCUUUUUUACCACAUAAGGUCCCUCCCAAUUUGGCAUCCAUUUCUCUCUGAAGUCCUUUUGUAUGGGGAGGAUCUUUUUCAAAACAAAGUCUCCCUAUGGAAUUCUCUAGGGCGAACCUUCUUAUUAUAAGCCCGCAUCAUUCUCUUUUGGUACAUUUGACCAUGACGGAUAGCUUUUAGUCUCUUUUCUUCAAUUAAGUUCAGCUGAUCAUAUCGAGACUGGACCCAUUCUGCCUCAUCUAACUUUAGUUCUGAAAGCACACGUAAAGAGGGAAUCUCGACCUCAAUAGGCAGAACUGCCUCCAUUCCAUAAACUAAAGAGAAAGGUGUCGCCUCGGUAGAGGUUCUGACUGACGUUCGGUAGGCAUAAAGGGCAAAUGGUAAUUUCUAGUGCCAAUCUUUAUAGGUCUCGGUCAUUUUUCCUAUGAUCUUCUUGAUGUUCUUAUUGGCCACUUCCACUGCAACAUUCAUCUUUGGGCGAUACGGUGACGAGUUAUGAUGUUUGAUCUUGAAUUGGCUACAGACUGCCACUAUCGUGAUAUUGUUCAAGUUCAGUGCACUGUCUGAUAUGAUCCUUUCAGGCAUCCCAUAUCGACAUAUGAUUUCUUUCUUUAAGAACUUGUUGACUACUGACUUUGUGACGUUGGCGUAAGAAGUAGCCUCUACCUACUUGGUGAAGUAAUCUAUAACUACAAAGAUAAAUCGAUGUCCAUUAGAUGCUUUCGGCGAUAUCGGUCCUAUGACAUCCAUGCCCCACAUGGAGAAAGGCCAUAGAGAAGUCAUGACAUGAAGGGGUGAAGGAGGUACAUGAAUUUUAUCUCCAUAAAUUUGGCAUUUAUGGCACUUCUUGGCAUAGUUGAUACAAUCUCCUUCCAUAGUGGACCAAUAAUAUCCUAAUCUCAUGAUCUGUCUGGCCAUUGUGAAACCAUUAGCGUGCGUUCUGCAAACACCCUCAUGAACCUCUUCCAAGAUUUGCUUAGCCUCAACAACAUCCACACAUCUUAGGAGUACCUGAUCCUUCCUUCUUUUAUAUAGGAUCUCUCCAUCUAAUACAUAGUCACUGGCCAACCUUCUUAAUAUCCUUUUAUCAUUUUCGGUCGUUUGGUCUGGGUAUUCACUAUUCCUCACAUAUCGCAAAAUAUCUUGAUACCAAAGACGAUCAUCUUUUUCUUCUUCUUCGUCGAUGUUGCAGCAAUGAGCGGAGCCUCAUAAAUACUCAUUUAGAUGGGCUUUAUAUCCUCUUGCUUGUUCACUUUAAUCAUAGAAGCUAAGGUUGCUAAGGCAUCAGCCAUCUGAUUUUCAUCUCGUGGGAGGUAGCAGAAAGUGAUAUCAUCAAAAUCCUUAAUUAACUCAAGAACCAGCCUUCAGUGAUUGAUCAACUUGGGGUCUCUUGUCUUCCAUUCACCUUUAAGCUGAUAGAUCACUAAUGCAGAAUCUCUGUAUACUUCUAAUACCUUGAUCUAGCGUUCUAUGCAUAGCUGCACGGAUGCCCAUGAUGCAUGCCUUGUAUUCCGCCAUGUUAUUUGUGCAGUCAAAAUCCAAUUUACUAGUGAAAGGAUAAUGAUCUCCAUUUUGGGAAACCAAAACUGCCCUGAUUCUGUUACCCACAAUAUUUGAAGCUCCGUUAAAAUUUAGCUUCCAAGGAUGGCCUUCUUGAGAGUCUUCUUCCAUGGUCGCAAUAUACAUUAGAUUCUCAUUCGAAAAAUCAAACCUCAACGACUCAUAAUCUUCUAGAGCUCUACUGGCCAGAAAUUCUACUAUUGCAUUCCCCUUUACAACUUUUUGGUUUACGUAGACUAUAUCAAACUCAGAAAGAAAAAUUUUCCAACGAGCCAUCCUUUCGUUCAAAGCAUUUGACUCCAUCAUGUACUUCAGAGGGUCUACUUUUGAGAUGAGCCAAGUCGCGUGGUAUAACAUGUAUUGUCUCAGUCUUCGGGUUGUCCAAAUCAAAGCACAACACAACUUUUCGAUUGAUGAAUAUCUCAUCCCACAUUCUGUGAAUUUCUUGCUGAGAUAGUAUAUCGCUUUUUCUUUUCUUCCCGACUCGUCAUGUUGGCCUAGCACACAUCCCAUGGAGUUUUUGAACACUGCCAAGUACAGUAUCAAUGGUUUAUCCGGGCAAAGUGGCAUCAAUACUGGGGCAUUGGACAAAUAAUGCUUGACUUUAUCAAAAGUUUUCUAGAACUCCUCAUCCCAAACACCUGGGUUAUGCUUCCUAAGGAGACGGAAUAUCGGGUCACAUUUCUUCGUUAGUUGUGAGAUGAACCAAGCGAUGUAAUUCAGUCUUCCUAGGAAACCUUGAACUUAUUUUUGAGUGCGUGGCGGAGGUAAUUCUUGUAUGGCCCUGACUUUAUCUGGGUCAAUCUCAAUCCCCUUUUCACUGACUACGAAUCCUAACAGUUUUCCUAACCGGGCCCCAAAGGUACACUUUACGGGAUUAAGCUUUAGCUGGAACUUCCUCAACCUUAAAAAUAAUUUCCUCAGGACUUGCACAUGCUCCUUUUCUAUUUUGGAUUUUGCAAUCAUGUCGUCAACGUAAAAUUCGAUCUCCUUGUGCAUCAUGUCAUGGAACAAAGUUACCAUGGCUAUCUGAUAUGUUGCUCCUGCAUUUUUUAGUCUGAAUGGCAUCACCUUAUAACAAAACGUUCCCCACAUGGUUACAAAUGUCUUUUUUUCCAUGUCUUCAGGAUGCAUUUUUAUCUGGUUGUAUCUCGAGAAGCCGUCCAUGAAGGAGAAAAGUGAGUAAUCUGUCGUGUUAUCUACUAGUGUAUCAAUGUGAGGCAAUGGGAAAUUGUCUUUUGGGCUGGCUUUGUUCAAAUCCCGAUAGUCCACGCACAUUCGUACCUUCCCAUCUUUCUUAGGAACUGGGACUAUGUUGGCUACCCAUUCUGAGUACUUGACCACUUGUAGGAAACCGGCGUCGAAUUACUUCUUGACCUCUUCCUUUAUCUUCAACAAAACAUCAGGUCUCAUCCUUCAGAGUUUCUGUUGAAUCGGCCUGCAUUCUUCUUUUAUGGGGAGUCGAUGUACCACGAUAUCAAUGUUUAAACCGGGCAUGUCUUAAUAUGACCAUGCGAAACCAUUUUUGAAUUCUCGGAGUAACUCGAUGAGGUUUCGCUUUGUUUUUGCAGUGAUACUAGCUCCAAUCUUCACCUCUUUUCCUUCUCCUAAGCUACCAAUUUCCACCGACUCUUUGUAAGGUAGAAUUUGUUUCUCCUCUUGUUCUACCAUCCUUAACAAAUCAAGAGAUAGGUUACAAUUUUGGUCAUCCUCAAAAUCCUUAGUGUCAUCCAUACAAAAAUCUUGCUCGAAAGGAGUCUCUGAGUUAGUGGCAACGUUACUCAUAUCAUUGAUAUCUGGAGACCUGUUAUGGAUGAAGAAAAAAAUCCAAAGAACAAAAGAAUCUAAGAAUAUUUGAUUUGUGUGGUAUGAUUAUGAAUGAAGUAGAAAGAAUAAAAGAAUAUUUGCUUAAGAUGAUACGCACAAAUGUAUUUUUUAUUGAAAUAACGAUAUUUAGACAUAUGCCUAUUUCAUAAAAGAAUUCUUAUUGCCCCUAGGCUUAGAGCAAUAAGCUUAUUUUGAACAUUACUCUGAGUUAAUCCUAAAAGUUACAGGGAUCUCCUCCGCGGUCCAAUUGCUCAAAACACUUCCAAGGAUGUAAAGGCGAAUUCCAGAUAAAUUCUCUUCAGUUUUCCCUUCGGAUAUGACAUUAAUGCUCAACUGUUUAACAUUUCUUCGGAAGACUCUUUCCUUGUCGAUCUUCUUUUGGAGUAAAUAGUCCUUCCUAACACGAAUGUUCUAGAUAAAUGAGGAAAGGUCAUCAGCUCCCAUUUGACCUCCUCACCACGCAGACGCGCUCUUCUCAUCUCUUGCCUUUUCUCCAGCUCUUUCUUCUUUUGCUUCACAUCUGGCUUAAAUCUUAAGCCAAGGCGGUCUCAUUUUUCCCUUAACACUAGUACCUCUAUCCUUCCUUGGAGGCAUCUUCCAAGUCCUCUUCCUGGCAGGGCUCAUUUUUCGACCGUUAAUCGUAGGCCCGUUCUCGUAGUUUUGGAUAUUUUUGGCAUUGGAAUCUUGUUCCUUUCGACAAUAAAUGUAGCAUUGACAAAUUCUAGUGAUCGAAAGGAACACUCUAUCGCCUCAUCGUCCGUACCCAUGUAUAGUGCGUUACUGGUAACAGAUGCAAUGAUGUCUUCCUCCGUAUUUAUCGUUACCAGCCUAUCCUCAGUUACCAACUUCAACUUUUGGUGUAGUGACGACGGCACUGCCCCCGCCGAGUGAAUUCAUGGCCUCCCCAACGGGAAAUUAUACGAAGGCUUGAUAUCCAUUACCAAGAAGUCCACCUCGUAUGUAUUUGGGACAAUCAAGAGAGGUAUCUCGAUUCUUCCCAUCACUUUUCUUUCAGUACCGUCAAAUGCUCUUACUAUGUUUUGACAUGUCUUCAUGUUAGAGCUGUCCACUGGCAAUCUAUUUAAUGUGGAUAAGGGCAGGAUAUUCAACGCUAAUCCAUUAUCAAUCAGUGCCCCCAGAAACGUGUGUCAUUUGCAACGAGUGGUGAUAUGCAGGGCCUUUGUAGAUCUCAUACCUUCCGGUGGUAUUUCAUCAUCAUUAAAGAAAAUAAAAUUAUCAGCACUGAUGUUAUUGACCAGACGAUCGAGUUUGUUAACAGAGAUAUCAUCCGCAACAUAUGUUUCAUUUAACACUUUCAUCAAUGCACUGCGGUAUGUCUCUGAGCUUAAGAGCAAGGCUAGUACCGAUAUGUGAGCUGGCUGUUUGUGCAAUUGUUCCACAACGCUAUGCUCGCUGUGCUUCAAGAAUUUUAAGAAUUCCUUAGCCUCUUUUUCAGUCACAGGCUCAUUGACAGGUGAUUCUGGUCUGGUUAUCUUUUCCCUCCUUUGUUCAACAACCACGGAUUUUCCUUUAACUGAUUCUGCUUUUGUAUUCGGGGUAUAAUGCCUUCCACUUCGUGUAUAGAAACCUUCAUCUUGACCUUCCUCUGAAGUGCCAACCGGGUUCUCUUUUUCCGGGAUUGUCACGUUACAGUCAUAGUUCCAAUGCACACUCUUGCUAUCUUUAUAAGGGAAAGCAACGGGCUUUUAGAUUAUGACCUUUGGCACAGUCGGUACUCCCACUUCACUGAUUCUUGGUCGUGAUAUGAUUACCACUGGGCGAUUGCCCCCGGGGACUUUAUUGGUUUACCCUCCUUCUAAAGUGCGUACAUCUUCUCCUUCCAGGCUCUCAAUAUACUCAAAGAAUCCAAUCUCUUUAUUUUCCAUCAAUUUCUGUACCAGUGCCUUAAAUUCAUUGCACUUUUGGAUCUCAUGCCCCUCCUCGUCGUGGAAUUCACAGUAGUACUUUGCUCCUUCGGGCUUUUCCCCUAAAUCUUGUGUAACUAAACCUUUUUCCACCAUUUUCUUCCAAACCAAUCUCAACGGAGUCUUCACCUCUGCUACGUCUAUCUUGGCUCUUUUCUUUCCAUUUUCAAUUAUCGCGUUUAUCGCUUUGUCUGAAUGAUUGGGUAACGGAUUCCCUACCACAUUAGGUCCUGUGGGAUCAUCGAACUUCACAAUGCCCAUCUUUAUGAACCUUUCAACUAAUUUUUUGAAAGCAGUGCAGUUCUCAAUCAUGUGUCCCGAGAUUCUUGCAUGGUAUUCGCAUUGCGCGUUUGCGUCAUACCACUUGGAAAAUAGAGGUUGCAUGGGUUUUAGGUAAAAUGGGGACACAAUAUGUGCAUCGAAUAGAUUCUGGUAAAGCUCCCUAUACGUUAUUAGGAUUGGUGUAAACUGAACUCUUUCUGUGUUAGGCCUCAGGUUGGAGUCUUGUCUUGCGGAGCCCUAAUGGUUAGUAGUUACUACCCUCGGCUGGCUCACUGUGACUCGCUUAGAAUAACCUUUAUUGUAUACGCUCGCAUUGUUCAUCUCGUUUUCUUUCCUUCUUGGAGCCGAUCUCUUGGCACUUUCCCCUACUUCAAUAUUCCCACAUCUUACCCCGUUUUCUAUCAUCUCCCCAAACAACACUAUGUCCGAGAAGCUCUUAGUAGCGCUUCCCAACAUAUGGUUAAUGAAUGAGGCCUUCAAGGUAUUGAUAAAAAGCAUGGUUUUUCUUUUUCCAAGAGAGGUGGUUGGACUUGCAUCGCUAUCUCCCUCCAUCGUUGGGCAUACUGCCUGAAGCUCUCACUUGGCUUCUUUUCCAUAUUUUGUAAUGUAAUUCUGUCGGGUGCUAUGUUUGUCACGUGACCGUAUUGUCUCAUGAAAGCUUGAACCAAGUCCUUCCACAAACCAAUUUGAGUACGACUUAGCUGGUUAUACCACUUGGCCGUUGACCCGAUCAGACUGUCUUGGAAACAGUGAAUUAAUAGCUUAUCAUUAUUAGCAUAUCCUGUCAUUUUUCGACAGAACAUCGUUAUGUGAGCUUCAGGGCAGCUAGUCCCAUUGUACUUUUCAAACUCAGGGGUUUUAAAUUUUGGUGGGAGCACCAGAUUUGGGACCAAGCUUAAGUCCUUAGUAUCGAUCCCGCUACGAUAAUUAGCAAUCUGCAUUGCUUUAAAUUUCUCUUCAAGCCAUUUACACCGGUCAUCAAGUUGUUUUGCCAGUUCUACUUUUCAUUUCUCCAUUUCUGCCAUAUCAUCAAGGUCCGGGACAAAUGGAUUAGCUGGAUUAUCUUUGGGAUUAGAGCCCGAACCUGUAGGAACAUUCAUCAAUAUCGAGGCACCGGCCUAGUACUGCUGGGGCCUAAUAGUGACAGGUACCGUUCAUGGGUGCUCCUCCGGUUGUGGUUGAGUGUUUACCAGAGCAAAGCUUGGAGGAUAGAUAGGGUCUUCAUUAUCGUUCCCUGAAUUGAUCGCAUUGCUCUUCCCUUUUUCACGUUCUUUUGUUAGCAACUGUGCCAACUGACUUAUCAUGUUAUUCUGGGAUUCUUGCAUUUGUUCCCUCAUGUCGUGUUAGAUUCUUGCUAAUUGCUCUUGCAUUUUUGCUUGUAAUUGCUCUUGCAUAUCCCUUUGUAUUUGUUCUAGUCUUUCUAAUCUCUGUCCAUUAUUUUAGUUUUACGAUGGGUAUUGUAGCUGUGUUUGGUUGGUUGAUUCUUGUUGGUUUCCAGAUUAACUGAAAUAAUUUUGUUUAAUCAGGGUCUUUUCAUGAAAUUUAAUGCAUAUGAUGAAAUGUAAUGAAAAUGAAUGAAUGCAAAAAGAGGCGUUGAUUCCGAUUCAAUUUCAUUAAAAGAACUUUACUAGAAGAAAUUUUUUUUACAUAGAACGAAUGAUUACAUAUACGACUUUGCCCUAAUGCCCAAAGCCUUAACCUUCCUAAGAAGCCAAGCUAAGCUUCAGCCUCGAUCUGAUUCUGACUCGUACUUUAAGCUAAUACAUCAGCUUGAACUGCCACGGUUUGCAAGUGAUCGGCUACCUCCCGAACCUGAGCCACAGCUUCACCUAUGACAUAGUCUCUAUCUCUAAUCUGGUCUUGAGAACGGUGAAGCUGUUCCCUGCAAUGGUCGUUGUUUGCCUCAAGAAGUUCCACUCAAAUUUUGCUAUCUCGUAGUGCAGUCUCGAGUUCCUCUACUUUCCCUUUCAACUCUUCGAUCCUGCUCAGACUAGCCUUCAGCUCAAUUACGGAAUUACGGCUACGAUGUUGAUGUAGUGAUCUUUCCAAUUCAGCCACCCGAGCUCGUAAAUUCUCCUUUUCGUUUUGGCUUUCUAACAAACUCUUUUUCAGAGUGUCUUUUCGUACUCAGGCAUCUUGAAACCUUUUCUCCCAAUGGUUGGCUCUAGUCUUUUCCUCUUUAAUCUCUUGACGCCAUUGCUCCGACAUUUUACCUAAAUCGGCUAUUCUUAUCGACAUACGCAGCUUCUUGUAAUCAGUUUUCAGACUAUCCAAAUCUUCAUCGUCCUUGUUCUUUUCGUUCUUCAAUUUCUCGGCCUCUAGCUUGUGGAUAUCGACGUCUAAUCCCAACUUUAUUUCUCUUCUUCUAGUUGCUCUCUCUUCUUCCCCAACUUCGAGUUCCUUUUCUCGAAGUCUUACUUAAUGAUCUUUAACUCGGAUGGGAUGACUGGUAAAUGCUCCUCUAUUGGUUGAGUGUUCCCUUGAUUCGGCCUAGGGAUGUUGUCGUUGACUCUCUUACCCUACCACCAUUCAUACUCAGGGGUCGUCAUCGAACCCGUGGUGAAUCCUUUCAUUCUUCGAGUUCGGUUCCAAGCAUCUAAUAACUCACGAACCUUCCUCUUAUAAUUGUUGUCUUUAUAGGGAAACUCACAUUGUGCCAACCCUUGUGCCACUGGUAUAAAUUGCCUUGAUCGAUACUGCCUGAACACCAUCAGUGGAGCGUAUCUAACGGCUUACUAUAUUCUAGCCAGAGGGACCCAGUCAAAAUCACCGCACUGAUAUAAGAUCUUGUCAAGGAUCAACCACGGAGCCCUCCAUUCAACAUCUUCGGCUCACAAAUUCUGGAGAAUAUUUAUCCAUUUCUCUUCUGAGAUGUCGUCUCGCCUCGCUGUGGCCAUUAAUUCCCUUAGUGGGGAAUAGUCCUUGGAGAAAACCCGAUAGGAGACCUUUUCCACCUUCCAAAAAUGGCUAUGGAACCAAGCUAAUAGAAGCUGUGCACAACCAAUAAAUCUUUCUUCGCCCACUCUCCGACAUGCAUUCAAGGAUCUGAAAGUUUCUGCUAGGAUUUCCGAGACCGGUGUGGUACCUUUAUCAAGUCGAUCGAAUAAAUCUGAGACAGCUUCAUCUAUGUGUCCUAGCGCUUUAGGAAAGAUGAUCAAACCGUAGAGGCUUAAGGUAAAAACGUCAACCCUUUUCUUCGAAUCCGAGUGUGCAAGGAUCAAGUCCCUCAAAUUUCUCCAAGGAAUACACUUAAUAUCCCCUUUUUGCUUGAUGCGAGCAGCAACUCAUUGCUCGCUCAUCCCCGUGAUAUUCAUCAAUUUCUUCGAAAAGGGAGGGAUGUUGACAGGUCUUGAAUAGGCCCUGUCGGCCUGAAUCUUUGGGCAAUUAAGUAACGCCAUGUAUUCCUCUACAGUAGGUACUAAAUCGACUCUUCCGAAGGUGAAGCAACUGUAAGCGGGGUUCCAAAACUGCGCGAGGGCCCGGAACAAGUACUUGUCCAAUUUUACGUCGAGCAAAUAGGGUAGGUCACCGUAGUUACAGUAAAAAAGUUACUUGACCUCGCUAUUCCAACUAUUCCAUAUAUCCCUUAAUUCUUGCAGGUCGUUCUGAGUCACACUGAUGCGAGUGAAAUCUCACAACUCCGAUUCAUAUCCCUCGAUCAAACUAUCUCAUUUCUCUUGUUGCAUUCUCUUGGACCACACUCGGACGGCCGCAUUAUCCUCCACUCUAUCAAGAAAUCAUUUUUCCAUGCUAAGCUUUUCUAUCUAGUAACCGAACGUGAAUCAACAUAUUUUUAUGAUGAGAUGUCAUGCAAUAACAACAAAACACAACAAGUCAGUAUUAAAACAAAGAAUAAAACUCAAAGCAAACAGGAAAUAAUUAAGCACCUAUUCGGGUAACCACUAAGGUUUGGUGUGGUUCUACCUAGGGUAGGCUCUUAAAGCUCAUUACAUGUGGUUCGGUUCUAAAGUAAAGGUACCUGAACCGGCAGAUUCCUCGAUCCUUACCCAUUAUAGGCUCAUACGGACCGAGUUCAAUUCAGGGGAAUGCAUUUCCCUAGGACUAUACGGAGAUAAAAACCUCACGAAGACGUAGGUACGGAUGUAUCCCGAAAGCGACCCACUAUCCUAUACGGAGGUGAAGACCUCACGAAGGAGUAGUUUCUUACUCCCACUUAAAGGGGUAAAAUUGACCAAUUAUGCAGUAUGAUGUGCAAAAGUAUACUUAAAAGAGUCAAACAAAAAGCCAAUCAUAUAAAGAGACAAAAACCACACAGAGGAAAUGCACAAAAAUGAUGCAAUGAAAUGAUCGUGAGUUUAAAACGAAUUUUUAAUUUUCGACGAAGGACAAAAACUAAUCAAUUUAUGGCUCGACUCUCCAUAUUCCCCAGUGGAGUCGCCAAGCUGUUGAAACCAUUUUGUUUGAAAACGGGAAACGACUUUGUUCGAAAGUGAAAAUUAAAACGGAAGUCGCCACCGAUCUUUAUUAGGUGUGAUCGGAUCACCUUUGUUUUAAUAAAACAUUUUAGUUUACUAAAACGGUGUUUUUGGUCUACGAAACUCUAGAGAAAAGGAUUCAGGAGUCGGUUACAUGUGAGGAAGGAUUAGCACCUCCGACACGCCCAAAAAUUGGUGUCGAAUUGAUUAGUUGGUGUCUUAAUGUCAAAAGUUAAAAAAUGGGGAAUGGAUUUGAAAUACGAUCCUUUUUUAUUAACAUUGAUCUUAAAAAUACUUGAAUUAGCUCAAAACGAUUGUUAAAGAUUUUCUUAUCUCGAGAUAUCGGAGUAUCACAUCCCGUAAGUUAGGACACAAUACCUUGAACUCCCGAGCGCAAAGUCAUCUUUAAUUUUAAUUAGAAUUUUGGGUAUUUUGAAACUCAAAGGGGUAUUUGGCUAUUUAGAAUCAACGAGAAAAUCUAAACCCCGUAAGUUAAGGCACAAUUCCUCGACGUUCCAAAACGCGAAACAUUGCCUUAUUUUGAAAUUUUUACUUUUGAAUAAUAGCGAGUACAAUAUUUAAACGACGCGCGUUAUUUGUUUGGAUUAAAAUUAAAUGAUUAAUUGGAUAAACGCAACGAGGUUUGAUUCAUGAGGCGAUGAUAUGAAAUAGAAAUAUAGUAAUAAGCCUAGAGCAAUGAUACAUGAAUACAACAUUAUACGAAUGAAUAACAAUAAUGCAAAAAUAUGAAAUGGGCGAAUUGAAAUACACAAUGGCGACAAUCACACAACAUACAUUUUUUAAAUACUAAUCAUUAAUAAUAAAGAAAUGAAAUAAAUAAUAUAGACGAUUUAGAAUAAAUAAUAAGACAAUUCUAAACAAAUAAUACAUAAAAAAACAAGUUUAAAAUAGGUAUUACGAAAGCAAUUUUUAAAUAAGUAAAAACAAUAUACAAAGCAAUUUAGAAUAAAAUAAUAUAUAGACAAUCUAAAAAAACUAAUUUUAAAAAAAAUCUAAAAUGACAUAUAAAAGUUUAAACUAAAUAAUAUAAAAAAGAAAUUUAGAAUACAUAAUAUAUAAAAAAUAUAUAAUAGUUUAAAAAAUAAUAAUGUAAAAGAAAUUUAAAGUAAAUAACAUAUAAAAUAAUUUGAACAGAGUAAUAUAUAUAAAACCUUAAAAUAAAUAUGCAUAAUAGUUUAAAGUAAACAAUAUAUAUAUAAUUUAAAAUGAAUGAUGAUUCAAAAAAUGUAAAAAGAAAACUUAAUAUACAUAAUAAUAAAAUGACUUUUAAAAUGAAUAAUGUAAGACUACAAACUUAAAAUAAAUAAUAAAAAAUAGUUCAAAAAAAAUUGAAUAAAUUAAUUAAUUAAUUAAUAGACUAGGACUAGGCUGAAAUUAAAUAGAAACUUAGGGGUAAAAAUUAUAAAUAAAAAAAGGCAUUAAGGACCAAAGUGAAGCGCGCAUAAAAAAACGAAGGACUGAUUAGGAAAAUAUUCUCAGCCCUCUAUACGCAGCGUUUCAAAGGACUAAGGUGUAUCAAAAAUGAAAUUGUGUGGCUAAAAUCUAAAAAAUUAAAAGAAACAAACAAGGGUCUGAUUGCGGUGCACCCCAAAAGUGGAGGGACCACGCGCGAAAUAAACCCCAAAAGGAUGAAACACGCGAAUCCCCUUAGUGGCGGGUCGGGUUGCACACGGGUGGUCCAAAACGUUGCCGUUUUGGAGCCUGGACACACCCAAAAACGGCGCCGUUCCAUGGGUUGUAUUUAAACCCAAUUUUUUUACAAAAUUCAUUUUCAGCCUUAGUUUUUUUAAAAACAAAGAGCUUCUUUGCUCUCUCUCUCUGUUCCCUUUUUCCUCUGGUCACCGAGGAUACGGUUCACCUCCGCACCGGCCACCAUAAGCAGUGGUCGGAGGUGCGAUAAUGGGCCCUUUAGCCCCUGUUUAAACGCGCCUAAAGGCCCCUCCCUUUUUUAGCCCCAAAGGGAUCGAAAAGAGAAGACCCCUCUCCCCUUUUUGGACUCGAGUCCGGCGAGAGAGAAGGAGGCUCUGAUGGCGUGACCACGAAGUAAAUCGGUAAGUUCCCUUUCCUUCUUUUUACUUUUAUCUAUUUUCGUAUAAAAAAUAAAUAAAUAAAUAGAAUAAAUGAACUCAGAACUUAAAACAAAAAUGGAAAUAAAAUCAACCUUUUUUGGUUUUUUGCUAUUUUGAUUGCUUAAUGAACGUAAAAAAAAUACAAAGGGAACGAAAAUGGCUUUUAUAGCCGAAUACAUGCUCGUUCUAUUUCUAUUCUUUGUCUGUUUCUUCGUUGUUUUUUCUUUUGUUUGCUAUCAUUUUUGUCCUCUUGUUCGUUGUUUCUUUUUGUUUGCGUGUGAAUCCUUCUUUGCAGGUGUCAGACAUGCGUGGUGGCCAGCGAUGGCGGUGGUGGCGCGCGUGGGGGGGGCUGAGCAGCGGCUGCAGUGCUAGGGUUCUUUGUUUUCUGAAAGUGUUGUUGGGUUAGGGUUAGAAAUGGACCUGAGUAGUUUGGGUUUGUAUUUGGUUUUAAAAUUUGGGCUGGUUUGGUUUGUAUGGGUUUGGGUAUUGUAUUAUUGGGCUGAUUUGGUUUGUAAAAUAGACUUUUAUUUGGUUAUUUAGAUUUUAUUUUUUGUUUAUUUGCCUAGGCCAAAAAUUGACCAUUACAUGUCUCAUAAAAUAUUCAGGCAUAAGACAUUUUUAAACAUUACCUAUUAAUCAAAUAUAAUUAUGUGCAUUACUAAUUCAAGUGCAAUCCACUAUAAUAUCUUUAAUCAUUUUCGAACAUCAAAGACAUUUCAUAGCAUACCUAAUCCGAAUGCUCAAAAACUAAUGUAAACCAAAUAUGCCUAGCCAUUUUAGCUCAUCACAAGACCAUGCG
rnacentral:lncRNA from 1 species